UAAAAAGUUUUCUAGAUUUUUAUUAGUAUGCGAUGAUUUAUAUGAUUAUAUAUCAAAAUUUUAAUGACUUACUCAAUUAGUUACGCACAUGACUUUUUUACACAUAUGUAUGUGUUUAUACAUCAUCACCGAAAUUUAAAAAUGUUUUUUAACAUCUUAUAAUAGAUAUGUAUUUAGAGAGAAGAAAACAUAACACGUCGAUGGUCAUUUAAAAUUCAAUUUCUGUGGCAUUUUAUCUUCGGCGACCACUGAAUCGAUUCCGGACGACACACGUGACGCCCACGUGAUCAGACCACAGAGGCACUUGUCCUCGGUAGCACACACACCGAACAACGAGUUAGAACCGUAUAUAGAGAAAGCAUUAUUUAGAGUCCUACAUUGUAUUUGUACAUGAUAACACAUUGUCAUAUUAACCAGUCGAACUCCUCGACCCAGGAUUUUCGGAUACAGAGGUUGAGGUUAGCGCGUAGACACGUGCCACUGUUUUUUUAUGUCUUAAUAACAUAUGUAUUCAUGUGUUAUGUUACAUAUGUGUGUAUAUAUGCGUGUGAAGUUGGAUUUCUCAUUCAAAAACAUGCGAGUUAUAUUUUUCGUCCUUGUCAUUAUUCUUCUCGCUUCGCAUAUGCACCCCCACUUCCCACUAUUAGUAACGUAUAUGUUACAUACAUGUAUUUAUACACAUAUAGUAGCGACAUGAGUGUAAUAGACUCGAGCAAGGCCGCACCAGUCUAUAGAUACUGAUCGACCGACUGAGACGUAAUUUUCGUGGCAGUUUAUGAUCUACAAAACUUCAAAGCUCAAUUCUGGAUUGAAUAUCAUAGAUAUGGAAUAAUCGAUAAGAAUCCUCUUCGUAGAACACAUUUGGUAACUUUAAAAGCACAAUAUGCAUUGGAGAAACAAAGGAAUAAUAGAAUAGAAGUAAAACUUUUUACGAAGUGAAUUUGACACCACCUGUUGCGACUGAAAGAGAAUUACGGCGCAAAAGAAACGUAGAUUAUUGUGGAUAGUGGUUACCACUUACU